rnacentral:lncRNA from 1 species
GUCUAAGCUCGCGAUCAAAUCAAUACAUCGAGCAAUUUAGUUGUAUAUUGAAAAUAAAACACAAAUACAAACAACAUUACUAAAACAAAUAGCACUUCCUGCUUUUAAGAUUUUAUCAUUGUAGAUAAGGUUGAUUUGUGUACACCGUCUGACCCUUGCUGAUCCGAUAAAACAAUAUCCAAAAGAAUUAAGAAGAUACCGAGCGGGCUAAAAAAAAAUCCCUUAGUCGAAAAAAAGGAGACAAAACAUAUACCAGACAGACAAAUAAAUAAACAACAACAUUUUAAGACCCUAUAAUUCAAUAGUGGCCAUUACACUUGGAAAUAUUAGUAUAAUCCUUUGAAUUAAAACAAGUGGAUGGUCUGCCAUCCAUUACCGAUUGUCUUCCGGAGAAAUGUCGCCAUUUUCCGUCUUGGUGUCAUUUUGGAUUGUGUCACUUAACGGAUUACAGAUGCAAUCAUCAGAAUUGUGAAAUAAAAUAAAUAUUCAAUAUGUAUACAUGAAGUUAACUGAUUAUCUUGUU